rnacentral:rRNA from 1 species
UAGUUAGCCGAGACUUGUUCCUAUGCUACCGUCCUUUUUCUCGUCACAUAGAAAAGGACUUUACGACCCGAAGGCCUUCUUCGUCCACGCGGCGUCGCUGCGUCAGGCUUUCGCCCAUUGCGCAAUAUUCCUC